rfam:Caulobacter henricii strain CB4, complete genome.
GUAGCGGGCCGGGCCCCUCUGACGUACCACGCAGCUGAAGGGCGCGGUCGUGAUGUCGGACCGCAUCG